AUUCAAUUACAAAAAAAAAUAUGCAGCAGACUUAAGGACUGCAUGUAAGAUUAAGAUAACUGGUAUUUCAUGGUAAAUGAUUAAAUUAGCUGACACAGUUUUAUCCUGAACUUUGCCAUUAAAACUGACAUUUUUGUGCCAAGCACAUUGUAGGCUGCUGGUAAUCUAAACUGCCUUUCUUCUUCUAAAGACUUUAAAUAGCUAAAGUACUCUUGUUCUUUACCCUAUUUGCAAGUUGUGGAAAAUAUAUCUACAUCAUAACAAGAUGAACUAAGCACGGGAGCAGAGGACUUAAUUUUUCCUCAUCUAUCAUACAAAUACCUUAAGAAAACAGCAAAGAAGCUUCAAAUGCCCAGAUUCAGCUCUGCAACAUGCACUUUAAUCAAGUCGUUUAUGUGACUCUAUAGAGAUGAGAACAUGCUGUCCUCCUCACGGCUUGCUUUUUAUGCAAAGCGAGUUAUGAGAAUAAUUUUGGUAGAAAAUAGAUUAUGACUGGUUGGAUGAAGCACUGCCAGAGCUGAUGUCUGCAGUCAUUUUCCCUCAGCUGAGCUAGCUGGGAAGGAGCAACUCAUUCCAUUGUGAAGAUAUGUAGCCUCCAAAGCAAAGCACAGGCACUGGUAGUUUCAACCUGGUCUGCCAUUGAGCAGAAAUGCAUUCCAACAGGAGAACAAUGAAGGGACUGGAUGUUGAUGGACAGGAAGCCUGCUGAUAUCAGAGAUUUGGAUCCUAACUCAUGUCCAGAUUUUUUCUUAGCAAUAUAUGUUCUCUAAAAGUUCUACAUAAAUUUAUUUUCUCCUCUUGAUGAGAACACUCAGAUUAGAGAAGAAAAAGCCUGUAGCCCUUUCUAGAUCUGAGAGUAAGGUCUCCUGAGUAACCGAGUAACUUGUGUUUUGUGCACAAGGAUUUGUGUACAGAACUUGGAGAUACCAUAACAAAACAGUCAUUUUCAAGCAGCUAGCCACAGAAUUGAGACAGAGCCUGGAGAGGAACAUUGCUGACAUAGAAAAGAUAAGAAUCUAAGCUACCUUAUUUCAUGAGUGAAGAUCCUGGAUACAUCUUAUUCCUUGUCAUGUGUUUUUUUCAUACAGAAAGGACAGAAGGACUGGAUUGAAGUUAGUAGGGCUGCUUGAUAUGUACUGCACAACUGAAUAUAUUUAGAAACAAAUUUUCAUGCUAUUUUACUCAUUUGCCUCUUGUUUUUUGUUUGUUUGUUUCAUUGCUGCCCUCUUCAGCUCAGGUUCUCAAGAGUGGCAGGUCAGCCUAUAAACGAGGGAAGCAGACAGAGGCAGAAGUUGUGCAAAGCUGGUCGUGAACUUAAUAAGGGCUUGAUUCCGUACCAACGAAAUCAACAGGAGUUUGGCUCAUGUUUGCAAUGGGAGGUGGAUCAACGCUUUAUGCCAGCUGUUCCCUGUUGGGUAGGGAUAAUCCCUUUGAAACAAAAUAUUUAACUUGUUCUCACUCUGUUGAUGUAAGAAGGCUUCUCGUGAUAAUACUUUCAUGAGAAUUAAAAGGUGUGUCCCAUUUUUAAUGUCAAAUACUUCAUUCCUCUAGUAUAUAUUUGCCAAUUCACAAAACAACAACAACAAAAAACAAACAAAAAACAACAAACCAAA